rnacentral:rRNA from 1 species
UACAGAGGUCUCAAGCGUUGUUCGGAUUCAUUGGGCGUAAAGGGUGCGUAGGCGGCGCGGUAAGUCGGGUGUGAAAUCUCGGAGCUUAAGCCUCAAACUGCAUUCGAUACUGCCGUGCUUGAGGACUGGAGAGGAGACUGGAAUUUACGGUGUAGCGGUGAAAUGCGUAGAUAUCGUAAGGAAGACCAGUGGCGAAGGCGGGUCUCUGGACAGUUCCUGACGCUGAGGCACGAAGGCCAGGGGAGCAAACGGG